UUUGGUUUAUUUGUUCUGUAAUCAUACAGAUGUGACAUUAGGUCAUGUGACUGGAUCUGAUGUCAAAUUCAUCAUAAUGUGGCUCAGAGAGGAGGGACUCAGUGUUCAUAUGAUCUUGUGUCUGACAGAGACUGCGGUUGAAAGCAUUCAGAGGACUCUUCUCAGAGUGAAAACUUGUACAAUGAAUCUUCAUUCAGCUAUUCUGUUCUGUGCCUCAGCAGCUGCUGUCUUUGGGAAUGUCAUUAAACCAAACAAAACAGAUGUUUUUGCUGAGGAAGGUUCAAAUGUUACAUUAUCUUGUAGUUUUACUGCAUCUGGAGGUUCAGAUUAUCUCCACUGGUACCGUCAGUAUGGAAGAUCAAAACCUGAAUUUAUUGUACUCAUCUACAGCAAUAAAAAAGAAGCUCAGCAGUCUGAUGUAAAUCCAAGAUUCUCUGUUAACAUUCCAAAAAGUGAACGUGUGGAUCUGAAGAUCUUCUCUGCUGCUGUAUCAGACUCUGCUCUGUACUACUGUGCUCUGGUGCCCACAGUGACAGGAAACACAAGAACAAUGUACAAAAACCCGUUACAAUGAGAGAAAAAUGCAAACAUGAUCAAAAUAUGAAAAAAAGAUUCUAAAGUUAGUCAAAAGGCCAGUUUUUUUACAGUGUAAAAAUUGUAUGGCAUUAUGGAACGUGAAUUAUAGCAAAUCCAUAUAAUACUGUCCUGUAAUAGACCGGUCACUUUAGAAAAAUUCUACUAUGCAGAAAAUAAAAUACUUCAUUUGCAUGAAGGUGUAUGACAUUUGCAGUUGCCAUACUUGCAGUGAACCAGAAGAGGGCAGUAGAUAUUGACUAUUUAAUUUGAGAAUACAGCAGUUCUCCACAAGCUCCUCCUUGGAUCGUCAUUAUAAUACCAGUUUCAAGACUCUUACAUUUACAGAUUUUUCUUCAACAUAGACACAGUCAUGCCACGCAGGUUGAGGAAUAUAUUUCUCUUCACAAUACUCAUUCUUGGUAUGAAUUAUCAUUUAAUACAGCUGUAUAUUCAUGUAAGUUGAUUAUAUGUUGUAUUGUAUUGUACA